GCCGAAGUGGUGAAACUGGUAGACACGCUGUGUUCAGGGCGCAGUGCCGCAAGGCGUCCCGGUUCGAAUCCGGGCUUCGGCA
rnacentral:tRNA from 1 species